UAAAUAGCAUGAAAGUCCCCUUAAGAGUUUAAGACGAAAUCCCCCCGCCCUAUUUCUGGUUCCUAGCAAACUUUGCUGUUCUUUGAGAAAUACCAUUCCUUCAAGAUAUCAUGCAACUAUACAUCUGCAGAUGCCAGAAACACUGAUGCCAACACCACUGAAAAAGUCCUUCAAUGUCUUAAAUACUUCUAACUACCCUUCUUGUCCCAGAGAUCAUUCACUAUUCAUUUCUACUGGCCUUUUUUUCAGUGUUAGAUGCCACAUGGGUUUAUACACUGAACAAGAAGAGUCUUAAUGAGGGGGGUCACCAGUGAAAUCUUACAAGAAAACUAUGCAAUAAAUUAUGAACAAAACUUACCACUACUAUUUUGUAAUCAUUAUCAUUUGUGCAUUACUGCUUUUGUCAUCAUUACCUCUAAAGGCCUCAAAUGAGGAGACUAUGGAGACUUUGCUGAAUGCUACAGCUGCUCAAAUAAAUACAUUUAUAUUUUUUCCUGGUCUUUUGCAAACUGAGGCCCUGGCUGGAAUAAGUGGGGUCAUAUCAACACUGUAAGACAUACAUGUAAGUGCCCACUGGAAAACAAACAAACAAACAAAUGCAGUGCCUAAUUUAGUUUCCAAGAACAAGGAGUAGACACAAUCCAGUUUCUGGAUAACUGGAAAACUGGAUUACCAUGAACAGACGGACCUGAAGGGCAAUGUGGGAAGUUAUCAUACCAGUAUAAGUGGAAUACAAAUUAUCAGAUUGCAAUGCUUUAAAUCAUCCUUAAAUAAAACCUUGAGAAAACUGCAGAAAAGUGGGAAUUCACUCAUUUUUCUUCACCCAUUUGCCAGUGGGAAAAGGGAGAUCAUGAGAACAGAUCUGUCCUGCAACUGAGCUCUCAUGUGGAACAAGGUAUCUUCAGAAGAGAUGAGAAACCACUCAUUCUUUCAGCAUAACGUGAAGUAUCUAAGCACUAAUUAUGCCUUUUCCCUUAGCUAUUAGUUGGUCAACUGUUCUCC
ensembl:lncRNA